UGGGCAACAAUAGCAAAACUCUGUCUCAAAAAACAAAAUAAAACAAACAAACAAAACUUUAUAGUGAGAAAUUAAGGAUGACUAUUUAAAUGAAAUUACUCUCCUGACCUCGUGAUCUGCCUGCCUCUGCCUCCCAAAGUGCUGGGACUAUAGGCGUGAGCCGCUGUGCCCGACCUAAAGGUUUUUUUUUAAAGUCCCUUUUUUGGUGGUUGUGGUGGUAGUAAGAACACUAAACAUGAGAUUUUUAAGUGUACAAUAGAGUAUUGUUAACUACAGGCACAAUGUUAUGCAACAGACCUCUAGAACUUUCUCAUCUUGCGUAACUGACUUUAUACUAAUUAAUUAGCAUCUCCCCAUUUCCCCACCCCCCCAGCCCCUGGUAACCAUUUUAUUCUUUGCUUCAGUGAGUUUGACUAUUUUAGAUACCUCACAUAAAUGAUCAUGCAGUAUGUCCUUACCUGAAAGUUGGUUCUUUUUUCCAUCUUCUGAAUGUUAAGUAGAAUAACUUAGGAAAUUUUGAAAUAAAGCCAACUAUAACUCCAGACAUUAAUAACAAACAGCUUUCUAUAAAAUGUCUCUUCCUAUAAAGUAUUUUAAAACCAGUUUGUUUCCUUUCCAACACUGUGUGUGUGUGUGUAUUUAUAUAUAUUUUAUUAUUAUUAUUAUUUUUCAGAUGGAGUCUCGCUCUUGUUGCCUAGGCUGAAGUGCAGUGGCACGAUCUCGGCUCACUGCAGCCUCCGCCUCCCGGGUUCAAGCGAUUCUCCUGCCUCAGCCUCCCAAGUGGCUGGAAUUACAGAGAAAGGAGUGGAAGAUUUGGACACAGACACACAGAGAAGAGGUCAAAGUGAAGACAGAACCAGAGAUUGGAGUUUUGCUGCCAUAAGCCAAGAAACCAAGAGCCAAGAAACACCAGAAGGUAGGAGAAAGGCAAGGAAGAACUUCCCCUCUAAAGCCUUCAAAGAAAAUAUAACCCUGCCAGCACCUUGAUUUCAGACUUCUGGCUCCAGAACUGUGAGAGAAUAAACUUCUGUUGUUUUAAGCUA